rnacentral:rRNA from 1 species
UUACGGCCAUAUCACGCUCAAACACCGGUUCUCAUACGAUCACCGAAGUUAAGCAACGUCGAGCCUGGUCAGUACCUAGAUGGGUAACCGCUUGGAAAUACCAGGUGCUGUAAG